UACAGAGGGUGCGAGCGUUGUUCGGAAUUAUUGGGCGUAAAGGGCGCGUAGGCGGUGCGGUAAGUCACCUGUGAAAUCUCCUGGCUCAACUGGGAGCUUGCAGGCGAAACUGCCGUGCUGGAGUGUGGGAGAGGUGCGUGGAAUUCCUGGUGUAGCGGUGAAAUGCGUAGAUAUCAGGAAGAACACCCGUGGCGAAGGCGGCUCUCUGGAACGCAACUGACGCUGAGACGCGAAAGCGUGGGGAGCAAACAGG
rnacentral:rRNA from 1 species